AGAAGGAGAAGAAGAAGAUUGAAAUUAACAUGGAAGGGUCAUCAAAAAGGGAGGUAACAGAAGAAGGUGUUGGUCUCGUCUCUUAUGUUAAUCCUUGCUUUCUUUUUGAAGCUCUUCUCAAGUGUUUAGGUAUUGAAAAUAAAACCCAAGAAAGCUCUGCUUGUCCAAAUUCACAACAAAAAGAUCAUGAUGGUGAUGGCAAAUUUGACUGUGAAGGAAGUUCUCAAGAAUCCUCUUCAACUACAGAAAUGGACGCAUGUCCACCUUCAACAACAGAUCCCUCAACUACUACUGAUGAUCCUGUUCUUGCUGGAGCACCGCCAAGGCCAUCAGUAAGUACUGGGAGUGGUCCGCGGACUAAUUAAUUCCAGCCCAUCCUGAAUCCUUGGCUCUAACGCAUCCGUAGUCCUCAAGCUUUUCUUCAUUCUGGAAUUAAUGGCUAGGGCUAGCUAUGGCAAGUUGGUUUCCAUAGAUUUUUCUUCCUGUAGGCGUCUGUUCUUUCCUUUUCUUCCUCUUCUUCUUCACUGUUUUUGCGUGCACUCUCUCAUGCAUAGUCAUGUAAAUCGAUGCUCAUGAACACUACUGGUAGUUUGUUUGUUUUCCAUGGAAAUUGGGAAGUUCUUAUUAGAGAGUUUUAAUUUCAAAUAGCAAAUUUAUACAAAUGGCUUUGAUUUCUAGGUUCUUUUCUCAAUUAACAAGUUAAAAUUAGUUAAGGUAGCAGUCCAUGAACCUCAUUCGGCGUUGAUGCAUAU
rnacentral:misc_RNA from 1 species